rnacentral:tmRNA from 1 species
GCCCUGUUUUUCUCCCAGCUUGCCCCCUAUAUUGGGGAUGCCGGUUCGCCGGCUAUGGAAAUAAAUGACCGUCGCAAUAAACCAUUCGGACCCGGGGGCAGUACCCGGCGCCUCCACCCAAGUCCACCCUCUCGUGGUGGGUUUCGGCGGGGGCGAACCAGGAUCGACGAGGGCGUAAAGGACGAGUUUUUUCCCGGUAUUGUUCCGCCGUUAUCGGGCUAUGCAAUAGUUGCAAACGACAACUAUGCUCCGGUUGCUCAGGCUGCGUAACGCAGUUUGAAAGACCAAUCUAAAGUCCUAGCGGGUUAAGCUCCGCUAGGCGGGGUUCGGAGGCACCUGGCAACAGAAGCCUCCACU